UACGUAGGGUGCAAGCGUUGUCCGGAAUUAUUGGGCGUAAAGAGCUCGUAGGCGGUUUGUCGCGUCGAAUGUGAAAACCCGGGGCUCAACCCCGGGCCUGCAUUCGAUACGGGCAGACUAGAGUUCGGUAGGGGAGUCUGGAAUUCCUGGUGUAGCGGUGGAAAUGCGCAGAUAUCAGGAGGAACACCGGUGGCGAAGGCGGGACGCUGGGCCGAUACUGACGCUGAGGAGC
rnacentral:rRNA from 1 species